GACGAACGCUGGCGGCGUGCUUAACACAUGCAAGUCGAACGGAAAGGCCCUGCUUUUGUGGGGUGCCCGAGUGGCGACCGGGUGAGUAACACGUGAGUAACCUGCCCUUGACUUUGGGAUAACUUCAGGAAACUGGGGCUAAUACCGGAUAGGAGCUCCUGCUGCAUGGGGGGGGUUGGAAAGUUUCGGCGGUUGGGGAUGGACUCGCGGCUUAUCAGCUUGUUGGUGGGGUAGUGGCUAACCAAGGCUUUGACGGGUAGCCGGCCUGAGAGGGUGACCGGCCACAUUGGGACUGAGAUACGGCCCAGACUCCUACGGGAGGCAGCAGUGGGGAAUAUUGCACAAUGGGCGGAAGCCUGAUGCAGCAACGCCGCGUGCGGGAUGACGGCCUUCGGGUUGUAAACCGCUUUCGCCUGUGACGAAGCGUGAGUGACGGUAAUGGGUAAAGAAGCACCGGCUAACUACGUGCCAGCCGCCGCAGUAACAC
rnacentral:rRNA from 1 species